GAACCAAAACAAACCAAGUUUUUGCUGACACUCUUUGCUCUCCAAGUGGAUUCUCAUUUUCAGAAAGGAUCAACACAUCUUCCACUACUAAAAGGACUUCAUGGGUGAGGAACUUCCUGAGGCCCCUUCCUGAAGAAAGUUUUGGCUGCAGAAGGAUGAUUAGGACUUUUUGGUGAUGGAAAUUCGAGGCACCUGAAGUCCAUCUGAAUCUUGGCCCAAGGAGCACCGAAGGACAUU